rnacentral:rRNA from 1 species
CAGUCGCCGCGGGAAUACGAAGGUCCCGAGCGUUGUUCGGAAUCACUGGGCGUAAAGGGAGCGUAGGCGGCGUGGUAAGUCAGAUGUGAAAUCCCGGGGCUCAACCCCGGAACUGCAUCCGAUACUGCCAUGCUAGAGGAUUGGAGAGGUAGCUGGAAUUCUUGGUGUAGCAGUGAAAUGCGUGGAGAUCAAGAGGAACACUCGUGGCGAAAGCGAGCUACUGGACAAUAACUGACGCUGAGGCUCGAAGGCCAGGGUAGCGAAAGGGAUUAGAUACCCGGGUAGUCCCUGUCUCUUAUAA